rnacentral:rRNA from 1 species
CCUACGGGGGGCAGCAGUCGGGAAUUUUGGGCAAUGGGCGAAAGCCUGACCCAGCAACGCCGCGUGAAGGAUGAAAUCCCUCGGGAUGUAAACUUCGCAAGAAUGGGAAGAAUUAGUAGGGGUUAAUACCCCCUAUGAUGACGGUACCAUUUGUAAGCUCCGGCUAACUCCGUGCCAGCAGCCGCGGUAAUACGGGGGGAGCAAGCGUUGUUCGGAUUUACUGGGCGUAAAGGGCGCGUAGGCGGCCAGCGCAAGUCAGUUGUGAAAUCUCCGGGCUUAACUCGGAACGGUCAACUGAUACUGCGCGGCUAGAGUGCAGAAGGGGCAACUGGAAUUCUCGGUGUAGCGGUGAAAUGCGUAGAUAUCGAGAGGAACACCUGCGGCGAAGGCGGGUUGCUGGGCUGACACUGACGCUGAGGCGCGAAAGCCAGGGGAGCGAA